GACGAACGCUGGCGGCGUGCUUAACACAUGCAAGUCGAACGGAAAGGCCCUGCUUUUGUGGGGUGCUCGAGUGGCGAACGGGUGAGUAACACGUGAGUAACCUGCCCUUGACUUUGGGAUAACUUCAGGAAACUGGGGCUAAUACCGGAUAGGAGCUCCUGCUGCAUGGUGGGGGUUGGAAAGUUUCGGCGGUUGGGGAUGGACUCGCGGCUUAUCAGCUUGUUGGUGGGGUAGUGGCUUACCAAGGCUUUGACGGGUAGCCGGCCUGAGAGGGUGACCGGCCACAAUGGGACUGAGAGACGCCCCAGACGCCUACGGGAGGCAGCAGUGGGAAAUAUUGCACAAUGAGCGCGAGCCUGAUGCGGCAACGCCGCGUGCGGAAUGACGGCCUGCGGGUUGUGAACCGCUUUCGCCUGAGACGAAGCGUGAGUGACGGUAAUGGAUAAAGAAGCACCGGCUAACUACGUG
rnacentral:rRNA from 1 species